rnacentral:ncRNA from 2 species
AUAAACCUUCAGGGCAGGGUGAAAAUCCCGAUCGGCGGUAUAGCCCGCGACUCCUCGUGUAAACAUGGGGACUGAUCCGGUGAGACUCCGGGGCCGACAGUGACAGUCUGGAUGGAAGAAGGCUUGC